CUUUCAUUGUAAGGCGUGAUUCUUAUAUUUCACUGAAUCUCAGGGGUUACUGUAUUUUAACCUUUUUAUUAAUGAAAUGAAUUCAUCACCAUCGUCUAUUCUUAUUAGGCUUUCAAUAUUAACCAUUAGAUAAGACAUUUCUAGAGAUGCUUCACUCUUGCCCAGCAAACACUAAACAAGAGAGACAGAGACUUCAUCUCUGGUUAGGUUAUUCACUCCGGUGAACCACCACCACUGCCGCCGCCCACCUCUCCUCGCCAUGUACACCACCCGCGGCAUCGCAUGUUCUGUACAGCCGGAGGAGAAAUGCUGAAUCAGUUGCUUCAUUGCUUCAUCACACCGCCUGCACAUGUUGUAGAAUGGUCAGGAGAUUAUCAACUAGAUUAUUGAAUAUAAGUAUAGCAUCCCUUUGCAAGGCUAAGGAAUUGAAUAAAGCUGAAUCAGUUAUUAUAGAUGGAAUACGAUUAGGAGUGCUUCCUGAUGUUGUCACUUAUAAUACACUCAUUGAUGCUUACUCUCGCUUUGUUAGCUUCAAUGCUGCCUAUUCGCUCCUUAAUAGAAUGCGAGAAGCUAGUAUAAGCCCUGAUGUUGUUACCUACAAUUCUUUGAUUGCUGGUGCUGCUAGAAACUGUUUGUUAUUGGAAUCCCUUAAUCUAUUUGAUGAAAUGCUUAACAUGGGUAUAGUUCCAGAUGUUUGGAGUUACAAUACUUUGAUGCAUUGCUUCUUUAAGUUAGGAAAAGCUGAAGAAGCGAAUGAGGUUCUCCGUCAAAUUUUUGGUCAUGGUUUAUCUCCAUGUCCAACUACUUUUAAUAUUAUGAUUAAUGGUCUUUGCAAGAAUGGUUUUACUAGUAAUGCGCUCAUGCUGUUCAGGAGUUUAAAGCAACAUGGGUUUGUUCCACAAUUAAUUACUUAUAAUAUUCUUAUCAAUGGGUUGUGUAAAGACAGGAGAUUGAGGGCGGCAAGGAGUAUGCUCAAAGAGCUUGAGACAUCUGGUUAUGUGCCAAAUGCCAUAACUUAUACUACGGUCAUGAAGUUCUGCUUUAGAUCAAGGCGGUUUAAACAAGGACUUGAGAUAUUGCAAGAGAUGAUUGAUAAGGGUUAUACUUUUGAUGGUUUUGCAUAUUGCACGGUUGUUGGUGUUUUAAUCAAGACUGGCAGGCUUGAAGAGGCAACUGAAUAUAUGAGGCAGAUGAUAAAAAAUGGUAUUGAGCAUGAUUUAGCAUCUUAUAAUACACUAAUUAAUUUGUAUUGUAAACAAGGUAAUUUGGAAGCUGCCUAUCAAUUGCUUGAUGAAAUAGAAAAAGAAGGUCUACAAUGUGAUGAAUACACGCACACAAUUUUGAUAAAUUGGAUGUGUAAGGCUGGUAAUAUAUUGGGGGCAAGGCGACAUAUGCAGCAUAUGAAUAUGAUGGGCUUCGAUUCAUGCUUGGUUGCUUUAAAUUGUAUGGUUGAUGGUUUGUGUAAAAAUGGUCAGAUUGAUCAUGCCGUAAAACUAUUUGAAUCAAUGAAGAUGAGGGAUUCAUUUACGUACUCUUCCUUGGUUCACAAUCUUUGCAAGAAUGGAAGGUUCCAUCGUGCAUCCAAACUCUUGCUCUCUUGUUUGAGAAGUGGCAUGAAAAUACUACCAUCAGCUCAACGGGUUGUUAUAAGUGGCCUUCGUUAUUCUGGUUUUCAAAAAGAAGCAAGGAAGCUUAAAUCGAAAAUUAAAUUGGCUCGGAUGUUGCAUCACUGAUUUUCUGAGGCCCUUUAAAUUGUAUCUGGAACAUGGAAUGAUUUGGUGGUGAAAUUUACAAUCUAGUGAUCAUUCUUUAGGAUAUGAAGCUUGAUCAGAACUGCCAAAUGUAUAUCCCCCACGUAGUUGUGUAAAAACAAAGAUGUUUUCUGCUAUUAAGAUUUAUUAUAACAAGAUGCGGAUUGGAGGUACUGAAUCCAGGUUAUUGGAAGACAACUGCUUUUCACUCAUUUUCACAUACACUGCGAUACUAUUGGUAUAAAAUUGCAUUGUUUCAAGAACCCAAUUUUGCUGAGCAUAUGUUUGGAUUAUGCAUGGGAAGUGGACUCAUGGCAGUUGCUACUGCUGAUAGAUCACAGUUUUUGGUGCAGGAUGCAAGUGGUGGUUUUUAUUGGCUAUUCUUAGUUGAUUAAAAAGGAAUAUAGAAAAUGUCAUAAUUUGGGUUUCUAUCGUGGUAUCAAUAGCUCCUUUGGAUCAGGAUGUUGAGUUUAGUGGUAUGUAAGUGGAUUGAACGGCAAAAGAAUGCCUUUGGAAAAAGGAAUAAGAAGAGCAGAUUACUUCCAUUUCUACUUGAGUAAUGGAUCACAAUUGGCAACCAAUGUAAUUUCUUGCUGGAUCAUUAAACCUUCUGAAUCAAUAGUUAUCUUGACUGAAAUAUUUUUAUCAAGGUAUGAAGGAUAGAACUCAGCUUGAUGCUGCAGCUCCCAUUGUCAUUUGAAAUAGUUCUGACUUCACUGUGCAUUAUCUCACGGUAGAACUUGGCAGCCUCCUGUAUAAACCAAGCUGCAGGGUGUUUUGAUGUUUACUUGAACCAUUUUGGUGGAAAGAUCUUGCCUUCUUUUCCAGAGCUUAGAUUUUGAAGUUAGUCAGCAUUGCCCAUUUCUCAAGUUCUUUCAAUUUGAGCUAACAAUUUUACCUGCAAUAUGGCUAGGAAGUUUGCAGAUUCUUCAACAAGCCGAGAAAGCUUUCUCCUCUCCGUUUUGGCAAUCAUGUUAAAGUGUAAAGUCUGCAGAGUUCAAGACUUGCAUCGGAAGACACCGCACCAUGAGACAAUAUUCAAAAACUAUUCAAGGCAUCAUUAAUUUAAGACAAUAUGAUUGAUCGUUUACAUAAUCUCUAAGCUCUAUCUCAGCACAUUGCUCACAUUGCCUUGUCAAGGAAGCCGAGCGCGAUGUUUCCUACCUCCUUCAACUCAGCUGUAAAUUCUUUUUUGUAUCCCAUUUUUUCCUCAGAUUUAACCAAAGCCGUCUUGUCCUAUUGGGAAGCAAACUCCUGUUGGCUCUAGAUAUCUUGGUUUAAUCACCGGAGAGCAUCCCAUUUUUACAAGAAUGAUGGAACGUGAUUGUGCAAACUCUGCACCAACAUAUCUAAAAUAAGUGAUAUAUUUAUACCGAUUAUCAGAUGGGGCACCUACUAAAAGUCUGAAAAUAAAAUUCUAUAGCUUCAAAACGUUACAUAUCAAAUUAUAGGAUUGUUACCAGUGUAAAUUUCAAUCACAGGAAAAAAAGAAACAGAACAGAAAGAGCCUCUUCCUUUUA